AGAGCAUGGGAUGAUAUAUUCAAAGUGCUGAAAACAAACCUGCCAGAUAAGGAUACUAUACACAGUAAAGUUAUCUCUUCAGGCCUCCCAGUGAUACAUGCAGGUGUUGGUUGUAGUAGGAAGGGGUGGGGUGAUCCCCAGGCCCCUAGUGGAAUGUUCAGGUGGGGGUGGCAGUGACUGUGUGGCAUCCCCACUGCUGGAGAGGGCAGGGUUGUUUUCAGUGGCAGCAGCCACAGGCAGGCAGCUGGGAUGCAUGAACUUCAGCCCCAGGUGGUGGCUUUGGGUGGAACAGCCUGUCUGUAGAGCACUUGCCUAUGUGUAGCAGUCUCGCUACUGUGAGUGGUCAUGCAAUGACCCCAAUGGAGGCAGCCAGCAAUGAUGGCAGCUACCUAUGGGAUGUCAAUGGGGCUCCAGGGAUGUGAAGAUGAAGGGGCUGUUGAGCCCCAAGGCAGGAUGCAGUUUGGCAGUGGCUGAGCUCUCAAAAUGGCACCAUGCUGAAGCUGCUUAGGACUUGAGGUGUGCAGGGGGCCCAAUGUGAGCUCCAUCUCUGGCGCAAUGCCACUGUGCAGUUUCCAGGCAGCUCUCUAGGUUUGUCUCAGGGCAUGGGAGAGUCGAGGGGCUCUUCCAUGGCUCGGAAUGCAGGAGCUCAGAGUGGGAAUGUGGAGUGUUGGGUGUUGGGGAUCACUUACUUACCUUUUACCUGCAUUGAGAAGCCUCUUCUGGUUCCCAGCUGAUCCCAGCUGAGCAAGCUGCCUGGCUUCCUUCUCCUUCCUUUUUUUUUUUUUUUUUUUUUAGCCCCUCUUUCCUUGCCUUAGAUGUUUCCUGACACUUUUCUGUUGAAUUCCAGUUUUAUCUCUUAGAUGAUCUAUUCAAAGUGUGAUUAUCUACUUGCAAUUUUGGUUCUUCUUUGUGGAAGUGAUGAGUACCAGAACCUUUAGUCAGCCGUCUUAACCCCCCUCCCAACAAUCGGGUUUUUAUCUGCUCUGAAUAUGACAUUCAAAUGCUAGCUCUCCUCUUACUAACUCAAAUCUCUUUGUCACUACAAAGCAACCAGUUUCCAGUUUUAUCCAAGGUUUCUUCUGGUGGCAAAGACUGCUUUGUGUUCACCAGAACCCAUUUCCCCUUCUUCCUGGGCCCACAGCUACACUGCCUCCCUUUCAGUUCGGUGUGGCCAUGAGACUGAGUUCUGGCCGAUAACAUAGGAGUGGAAGUGAGGAACAUCCUUUCCAGGCCUGGCCCAUAAAAAGCUCCCAUUGAAAACUCACCAUUCGCUCUCUUCCUAUGUCUUCCUGCAGGUUGCUGACAUCUAGGAUGACUUGGGAAGUUACACGUUGAGUACAGAAGAGCCUUUCUCAGCCCAGGUUCCUGAAUGUUAUGUGUGAAGCAGAGCACUCCUGCUCUCAUAACCAAUUAGUGACUGGACAAGAAAUAAACUUCUCUUGUCUUAAGCCUUAGAAAUUUUGGAUUUGUUAACACUUCGAAUUGCCUUAACUUUUAUGACAUGCCACACAUUUUCCAUGCUCUGAACAGUGAAAGACUCAUAGAAUGUAGUGUUUAACAUGAUCUCUUUGUGAAGUGAUCAUCAAUGUAGGAUUCCUCCAAAGAAGAAACAAUGACAACUCAUCCCAUCCUCACUGAUCCUUUUAUUGCUUUUAUUGUGUGAACCUAGGAUAAAAAAUUAUUAUUAUUUUUUUCGAUAGGUUCUUGCUUUGUCCCCCAGGCUGGAGUGCAGUGGCGUGACUGUGAUUCACUGGAAUGUCUACCUGCCAGGUUCAAGUGACCCUCCCACCUCAGCCUCCUGAGUAGCUGGGACCACAGGGGUGUGCCACUAUGCCUGACUAAUUUUUGUAUUUUUUUGUAGAAAUGAAGUUUCACCAUGUUGCCCGGGGUCUUUAACUCCUGAGUGAUCUGCCUGCCUCAGCCUCCCAAAGUGCUGGGAUUGCAGGCCUGAGCCACUGUGCCUAACCUAUCUUCUAAGUACACACCUACUAAUUGCUGCAAAGAUACUUACUUUCAUUCUAAGUGUGGAUUUGGCAAAGAGCCAGAUCGUAAAUAUUUUAGGCUUUGUGAUCCACAUAUAGCUUCCGUCACCUAUUCUCCUUUGUUUGUUGUUGUUGUUUUUUAAACAAAACUUUACAAGUAUAAGAACCGUCCUUAACUCAUAUGCCUUACAAAAAUGGGCUGCAGGCUAGAUUUGGCCCACGGGUCAUGGUUUGUACCUUACAAAGUAGGCAACAGGCCAUAUUUGGCACAAAGGACCCCUAUACUGUGAGAUCAAACAACCUCAUACUCCAAUGCCUUUGUAGGCCUCUUCUAAAUAGUGCAUAUUCCAUAAUGUAUUGCAAAUGAAGCUUCUCAGGCCCACAUGUUCCAUUGGCGGAACAGCUCCUCCAGCACAGGAAUUCUUGCUCACUCCUCUUUCCUCAGGGCCACAGCACAGAGAGAAUACUCUUGAGGGAUUUUGGUAAGUGAGUCAAUACUCAAAGUGUGUGUGUUCUAGAAGGUAUUAUUUCUAAUAUUUCAGAACUUGGGUGUCACAAAGGUGGCCGUUUUGGGAAACAUAUACUAUCUACUGAAUUACUUUCUCUAGCCAGUUCCUCAGAGGGGAUGGACUGUGUAUAUUAAGAUAGGGGAGAACGGGAGUAGAAGGAGAACAGGCUUUGAAGUCAAAAGACCCCAAUUUAAAUCCUAGUCCCACCAUUUGCAAGGCAUGUGUUGUUGGAAUACCUUGGCUGAGAGUCUUUCUGGGCUUCCAUUUCCUCAUCGGAAUAAAGAGGGUCAUUUACUACACAUAACAGCUCUAUCUCAAGGGCCAAAACAAUGUUUGCCAUAUAAUAGGUGUUCGGAAGAUAGCAGUGACGGUAAAUGUAUUAACCCUAGAGACUCCUGCCGCAAGAUCAAGGAGAUUCCAAGAGACCCCAGAAAUGCAGCCUUUGAGCCAAUAUCUUACUAAUUGUCAUCAGGCUUGGGCUAGAGCAAUGGGUCUCAACCAAGGGUAAUCUUUCACCCCACAGGGCAUGUGGCAAUAUCUGGAGACAGUCAUUUUGUUUGGAAGGGGUGAUGCUAUUAUCUGGUGGGUAGGGGCCAGGGAAAUUGCUAAACAUCCUACAUGGCACAGGACAGCCCCACACAACAGAGAAUAUUCCCAUCCAAAAUGCCAAUAGCACGUAGGUUGAAAAACUCUGGAGUGGAUGAAUGAGUUCUCUCAUUUGCCCAUAAUGGGAAAGAUUCCCAGAGCCUCCCACAGGGAUCUGCGGGGUCCCCUGGGCAUGUCACAGCCCAGGAAAGUCUUACCUUGAACAACUCUGAUCUUGGCCAUCCAGUAGGAAAAUCCAGUGUAGGUACCAUCCGAGGAAGGGGUCAGCUCUGGGUACCAGAAAAGUGGAAUGUCUUGAAGGAGAGAUGGAGGCAAAGGUCAUCACCGUGUCAUCAGAUUAUCUAGAGCAGAGUAGAGAUCUUGUACUAAAGAAAACCAUCAUUAAGCCCAAAUCAUAGAUACUGGAAGAGGAAAGGCUUGGUCAGAAGUGGUGACCAGGUUUUGCUCUGUCAUAUACUUUUACCUCCUCUUCAGGGAAUGAUAAAUGAUAAUGUGGCCUUCUACUUUUGUCUUUGCAAAAAUUAAAAAUGAAUGUUUAAUGAGCUACUGCUUUCUGCUAGACCUCUAACCUUCAGGGAUGGUUUUCAGCCUGAGCAUCUCAGCUUUCCACUUCACUGGGCUCCAGACUCCUCAUGGGGAGUGUCUUUUUUCUCUAUAGGAAGAAUCCUGAUGUUGGAAAAUCUCUGCAGGGAUCUGGCACCUGGUUUAGGACAACAACAAAAAGAUCUCUAAAAUUCAACCAACAAAGGUCCAAAGGAACUAGGUUGGAACUUCUGUUCCUGAGUAAAUCUUUAAAAUUUUGGUAGAGAUAAAUGUGGAAUAAUGUAAAUAAAGCCACCUUUCAUUCAUUUUCUAGAGAUUAAUUAAGCACCUGUCAAUGCCAAGCAAGUAAGUACAGAGAGUACAGAAAUAAAGACAAACGAGUGAAAGAAUGCCUUGGUUUGCAAGGAUGACACAUGAACAGACAAUUACAAUUCAGGGCUAUGGGUGUCGAGUGGGGGUGCACUUACAUCAGGUCGCUGGUCAGAGAGUGAGAGGAGGGGCUUGGAGACUUUCCAGAGUAAAGGAAAACUGAGCUGAAUCCUGUGUUUUUCUCCCCUCUUCUUUCAUUUCCCUUUUUCUAGAUGUCUCAAUAUUGGCUCCAUUCACUGGGAAAAUGUGUACAUACCUCCAACUUCUCUCAAAGGAGUUCCUUACACUUAAAAGAAGGAAGGAAAGAAGGAAACCUAUGGCAGACCCUGUUGGGUCCCUGCCUACAUCAGGGUCCCUUGGCCCCUACCGUUGCCAUACUGGUGACCCUCACCACCAGCAACUGCAGGUCUCCACACUGGGGACUUUUUUGGUUAAGGGAUCUGCUGAGCCUGCAGAUAGGGCAGGGCAGGCAAUGCCUGGGGGUUGAUGUCCCUGGACUAACCCUGAGCCAAAGGUGAAGAAGACUUCAUGUUUCAAUGUCCUGGCUUCCUUGCCACUAGGGAGGGAGAGCUCUAGAUGCAUCCUACACCAUCUCCCAGAUGUCCCCAGUGGGAUGGCGCCUCAGCUGCUCACAGCAGUAACCUACACUGCUAUACCAUGGUAGCGUACCACACCCUACAUUAGCUUCCCUCCUCACCACCUGGCUGGUGCUCCCACUCAAAUCCCAGCCUAAGAAUCUGCUUUCGGAGAGCCCAGAUGAAGGCAAAGCAAGUGCUGAGUAAAUACACUUGCUCAUCCAGGGUUUAACCAGUGUGUGCACCUUUGGUAAGACUGUUCACAUGUCAUAGGAAAUAGAUUUUUGGCCUUCAAGUAAACCCAUGCAGUUGCAAAUGGCUUGAAGACUUAGGGGGCUAUCCUGAAAUAAGGUCACUGACAUGCCCAGGUGCCGGGAAGCUCCUCUGGGGCCAGAGGCACUGAUGUGCAGGUUGUGGGGGCCUAUUCACAGUGCUCUGCUGGACAUUUCCCAGCUGAGGCAGACCCAGGCAGAAACUGUCCCAGAGACCCAAUUGAUCUGCUGGGGCAUCGCGGCUGGCACUUCAUAAUCCAGCAUCACAGCAUAUGAUUCGGAUAUGACCCACCACAGUAGGUACAAUUUUCAUUUCCUUCCUCAUGUCCCCACUGGCAGUCCAAAAGUCAUUUAUGGCUAGUUUCAAAAUCCAUGAUAUUUUUGCAAAUGUUUAUGUGCAUAAUGUGUGUGUCUAUGUAUGGUGCUUUAUGAUCUAAUGAUGCUUUAAUUAAGUUGAUAUUCAAAUAAGCUUGAAUUCUCAGAGCUCCCUGGAGAUGCAGCUUAUGGAAUAGCAGAUGAUGGGGAAGGAUAGUCCAUGAUUAAAACAUCACAUGGGAUAAAUGCCAAAGCAAAGGUCCCACCCCAGGAGAGUUAUGAAUUGACUGCACCGCUUCUCAUCUCCACCCCCUCAAUCAUUGCUGAUGGGCAGAGGGAAACCAUUUUCUGCCAUCUGGUUUUUGCAAAAGUCAGGCAGUAAGCUCCUUGGGACAAGGAUCUUAUCUUGUAUAGUUCAACAAUGAGCACAUGGCUGUGUACACUCCAAAAGCCCUAUUAGUACUGAAUGCAAUCAUAAAAAUAGCCCAACCGUGGACCUUCGAUAACGUCCCUGCCGUCGGCUCAAACCUGAGUCACUGUGUCUGAAGGGCACUGGGUUCCCCAGGCUGAUGCCUUAUGACUUACAAAUAAGCAGCACAUCAGCUGAUAAAGUGACUGGGCCAUUAUAAAAAUCAUACAGUAGUUCCUAGGAUGCCAGAAAAACAGCCGUUAAACAACAACUUAUUUUUCCCUUGGUGUUUGAUUUUGGCAAUGUGUUCUUUUCAAAUGAGAACUAUGCCAAACAUCUUGUAUGAACCCUUCUAGUCAGCAAGUAUGUGAAUGACCUCUCUAUGGCAUGCCAGAAGCAGGGCCAGGAGAGGGGAAAGGAAGAGUUGUGGCUGAAGCAUGCUGGGCUCAGAACCCUUGCUCUGCAGGCGGAAGCCACCUCAGAGCAGCAUCCAGAAGCUGGGCAUGAACGGAACAGCUCACAGUGCACAGCAAGGUGUCACAGCCCUUCUAGGCUCACUUGUACAGGCCCCCUCGUACAGAUCUCUGUGAUUUUCAGGGUUGGCAGCCACUGAUGUUUGCUCCCCGAGGAAAAGUGCACCAACUUUAGGUGAAUGCCUCAUUGUUUGGGGAUCUGGAACUGAAUUCUCCUGCAGGACUAGCUAUGAAAUCACUAGAGGACAACAGGAGAAAGCUCAUGUAGUGCAGCUUGUGUUGGUGUGGAAAUGGACAGAUAUGCAUGCCAUCCUGGGCACAUGUGUCCAUGCCAUGUGGGAAUGGUCAGGGGAUGAACACAGCAGUCUGGGGCUAGAGGCAGACCUGGCACCAGGAUUUCCUGAGGAAGAAGUCCCCCUCCUGAGUACGUAACUUCUUUUCCCAGGCUCUCAGAAGUAGCAACACGCUGAUGCCCUGCAGCCUUUCUGGGUAGUAAGCAGGGCACGUGGAUGCUGGAAGCUGAGCUCUGUGCUGGGCCAGCCUGAGGGCAGUGAGAGAAAAAUCCCUGCAGGAAAGUCAUUCCCCAAAACAAGCCCAUCCCAGUUCCCAGCCAGCUUCUGGGGCUCCAGCCCUCAGCGCCAACUCCAUGUUCAUAUCUGAUGGCAGGGAAAUCAUCUUUCUUAAUUCCCAGGGCAAAUUGUUCCUAGGAAAGAGCAGAAUCUCAGGAGGAAAUCACAUCAUCCGCGAAGGGAGAGCCAGUUCCUUUGUACUAUUUUUCAGGGCUGCCUUUGGAGCCAAUAAUCUGUCAUUCCUUGAAUAAACAAGCACCUUAUCAUAUCACAAACAUUUAUUUAACCCUUUUCUCCUGCACUUUUACCAGCAGGGAGAAGGAAAGCAGUUACCAGGGCAGCCAGAGCCCGUGGCAGAAAUGCCAAAUUCCCUGAACAUUACACUCAAUCUGUAAAGUGUCAGCCGGCCCUUUUCUGUGCCUCCAUAAAGAACCAGUCACCCAGAUUCAAGUAUCACAUUCCGGCCUCCCACUUCCACAUCGUCCCUGCCCCAGCCUCAGCCCCAUCUCCAUUAAUACCCCACGGCCUUUUGCAGACGGGCCCUUAAUUCUGUCCAGUGGAGUCUGGGCUAAUUUGUUAGUUUUUUUUAGGGGCUGAUGGGGGGAAUAGAAGGGGGUGGAGGGAAAGGCAAAAGAGUGUUUACAUUUCUCCUUUUAAUGACAAUACACUUGACAGAGCUGUGAGUCCCAGCAUUUUGAAAUGUGUGUGUGUGUGUGUGUGUGUGUGUGAUUUUUUUAAAAAAGGCAUAUUCUUUGACUCUGACAUCACAGGAAAAUGGAAUGAGCAAAGUAUGUAAAUUUCUCCAAGCUCUCACAAUCUCCAUUUUCUCUCGGUGGAUGGAUUUUGUUUUUCUUUUCUGGUGUUGCUCCCACACAAUGGGGCCAAAUCUUGUUCAGGACAAAGAAACAUAUAAAUAGAAUAUGCAUGUGGUAUGCACGGGAACUCUUGGAGACCAGAGAGAGACUGUUUGGACGGGCGUCUGAGGGCUGCUGGGGGAACCUUGGGGUCUUGGCCUGAAGAGCUUGACAGGCAGUGUCUGUCCCCAAAGUGACAAGUCACAAAUUUCAAAAUCAUUCUUAUUCUCUGGGAAACACUAAGAAACCCUGGAAUGGGUACAAAUUUAAAAUGAGAAUGUGAAAUAUCUUUGUGUGAGUGCAUCAGAUGUAAGAUGUCAGUCUGCCUAAGAUAUUGGAUGUGUUUUACAGAGCUGAUGGGGUGGGUUUUCUUUUUGAUUCACCACGAACAAUGCUAAGUCCCGUGCAGCAUGUCACCCUCUGCAUCUGCAUCAUCUCAGUGACAUCCAGGUACUCGCUGAAGCUUAUAUCUUUCCUGUAUUAUGGAUUUGCAGUUGUUUCCGUGUCAAUCAUCCUCCAACCAAACUCUCCCCUCUUAAAAACUGCAUACUAUAGCUCUAGCCAAAAAGACUUAUCAGCGCAAGUUUGAGCAAACUAAUGUGUGCAGACCCUGAGUGGUUAUUUUUGUUUCCAAGUCUGGACAUAGAAUCACUUGUUCAAUUUCCUGCUGGGUUAUAUCAAGUGGUUUUAACAUGUAAAUCUCUGAUAAGGAAACUGACUAAUUUAUGUAGAUUACCUAUCUGAAUUGCUGUCAGGAUUGCCUUAAUUUUUUCUGCUUCCUUUACUUCUCCACUUUUUUCUCAGUUAUCAUUAUUACCAUUACCAGGACUAUCAAGUACAACCUUAUUCAGUAUAUGUUUAGAAAAUGUUCUUACUAAAACUUAAAAAAAAAAAAAAACAAACCAAAACAAACAAAAACCCUCUGCAUUCCUGAAGUGUGUGUGGGAGUUCUGUUGGUUUGGAUGUCUGUGCUUUACAACCCGAAUUCAAAAUAUAUAGCCUCUCAGACUCCGUCACGUCCUUGACAAUCAAUCAGAAGAUUGUUAUUUGUUUUAAUAAAAAAAUUUUUUAAAUGAGAAAUGAUCUGAACUACUUCCAUUUUAUUUCUAUUCCUUAACCAGCCUCACCCUACUUCAGCUGAUGGAGCUUCCCUAAUCUCUAAAUUGAAAUCCUACAAGCUGCUUGAGCACUAGAUUCUAGAACCUGCUCUGGCUAUAACAUGAAGUAAGUUGAUCCCUGUGGGAUUUUCCAUGCAGUAGCUUGAUCAAAGCUACUGGUUCCCACCCAAACCUUGCCAAAGGAACACCAAAUUGAACCACCAUCCACCAAGAAAGCACCGCCAUAAGAACCGAAAGUCAGGUGAGUGAUCACAGUACCUGUGUUUAACACCAUAGCAAGGAAAGAGGCACCGAAGAGAGAAGGAAAGACAGUGUUGAAUCGCCGACACCACCCUGCCCCCAUCCCCUGGCAGCAGCUGUGUGGCAAGGAGAGAGAAUCAAAUAAUUGUUAAUUCUAUGCCCAAAUACACAGACCGGGGUAGUGUCUUAGUCUGUUCAUGCUGCUAUAACAAAAUACCACAGACUAAUUUAUAAACAACAGAAAUUUGUUUUUCACAGUUCUGGAGGCUGGGAAGUCCAAGAUUGAGGUGCUGGCAGAUUCUGUGUCUAGUGAGGGCUGCUUUCUGCUUCCAAGAUGGCACCUUGUUGGUUCAACUUGUGAAAGAGAUGGAAGGGCAAAAGGGACCUAGCUGGUUUUCCCCAGCCCUUUUAUAAGGCACUAAUCCCAUGUAUAAGGGCAGAGCCCUCAUGGCCUAAUCACCUCCUAAAAGCCCCACCUCUUAAUGCUGUUGCCUUGGGGAUAACGUUUCAAUGUUAUUUUGUGAAUUUUGGAAGGGACACGAACAUUCAAGCCAUAGUAGGAAGACUGAGUCAACGUAAACCUGUACAGUAAUCUCCCUUAUCUGCAAUUUCACUUUCCAAGGUUUCAGUUAUCUUCAGUCAUCCAUGGUCCAAAAAUAUUAAAUGAAAAAUUCCAGAAAUAAACAAUCCAUAAAUUUUAAAUUGCGUGCCAUUCUGAGCAGCAUGAUGAAAUCUCUCGUCAUCCUGCCCAGGUCGUGAAUCAUGCCUUUGUCUAGCAUAUCCACACUGUAGAAACUCCCCACCCUUAGUCACGUAGUAGUCAUCUCAGUUCUCACAUGGAAAAAGCAUGUAUAUGUAGGGUCAGUACUACUCGAGGUUUCAGGCAUCCACUGGGAGUCUUGGAAUGUAUCCCACCACUGUAACCAAUAUCUGAUGCUAUUCUCACACCAAGCUGGUAAACCUGGCCUAAACAAAGUCCCAAGCUGCCCCCAGACUUGUGAGCUAGGGCUUUUGUCUAGAAACAAUCUUUAGUGACCCAAAGUCAAAGCUUAGGUAUCCUGUUGACUGGGCACAGCAGUAGAACCCAUCGAUUCUGGAACAUGGACCUCUAACCAGGUAGGGUUCUGCUUCCUUGUUAGGUGCCUUGAGGAAUGUGGGGCCAGGAGGGUCCUUCAGGCCUCUCCCUACACCCCAGUCCCACCCCAGCCCCCUCCUGCUGCUCCUGCAACUGCCCUACUCUCUCAGAAGCCUUGUGCUUCAGAAGUGUUUUAAGACAAGAGAGUGUGAGACUAAAUGCAAACUGGCUUCAAAAAUGACCAUUGUUUGUAUCCACUGGGAAUCCUUCAAGACCUUUCCCUCCCCUCCCUUCUCCCCACGGUGAACUUUAAGCAUUUUUAUCCAUGGAGACUAAAGACAAAGUACUGUGUCUGGCUUCUCUUCUCUUUUCCAGCCAGCCCACUUGCCAGUCUGGCUUCUCUCAUCUUUGUUUGGAUGCUCUUCUUCAUGACUCCUCGCCAAUGCACAGAUGUAAACUAUUGUCUGAUUAUUAAAAGAAAAACACAAAACACAAAAAAAGCACACAUGCCUUCAGUAUUAAUGACCAUAGAGCUGUCUGCAUAAGGUGAAGUCUGUGGUCCUGAGCAGACCACAAGCCAUCAGCCCCUGCUGCUCCAGGAACUUGUGCUUUUCUCCUAGGUUUUAUUAAAAACAAAUUUAGGCAAACACAACAGGCUCAGAAAGGAGCACCACUGUGCCCUUGAAACUUUGCUGGGCAGCCUCCAGUGGCAAGCCUUGUCUUUGUCACCUCCUCCCAGUGAAGUUCACUAUCUUUUGGCCCCCCUCAGAACUGCUGCCCCAUACUGUCCACCUCAGCCUAGUAGCCAGAGACCUCGUGUUUGGUCUUUGCCCUCAACAAGACACUUCUAGCCACACUGAGUCAUUGCUAGCUUGUUGGAAAGGUGAGAGCACUGGGUGGAGAGUCAGAGGCUGGCUUCCCUCCUACCCCUGCUGAUAGGUUGCAUGAUCCUGAGCAAGUUUCUUCUCCCUGCUCAGUAUUCUUGCCUGCAAACUAAGAGGGCUGGGCUAGACACAUUCCUUCCAUUUUUCCUUAAGCAAAUAUUUAUUUAGCUCCUGCUCUGUGCAAGACACCGAGGAUGGAACUGAAAACAGGACAAACAAGGUCCUUGCCCUCAUGUAGUAUAUGGAACAGCAGGAGAAAGUUAAAAGAAAGUAAAAGAAGACACUCUGAGCAUCCUUGUAUCUCCAGCAACCUUCAAAUGUGUCACUGAGAACAGCCGAAUGUGCUGUCGUUCUGAUUUAUUGGGGAUCAAAGUCUUUAACUAAAGAUGUGGGAUUCUUGUAUGGAUUUUCACACAUCAGCUUCAGGAAAUAAGUAAUAAGGAGGAGUUCAUGACCCUGAAAUCCCCCCUCAAUGGAUACCUGCUACACUUCUCUCCUGAAAGCCAGGUAUCUGCAGCUGUCAUCCCACUUGCUACUUUAACUGAAGGAAUUUUCAGAAGCAGCAGCCAAACAUGACACACCAGCAGCCUGUAGCUCCACCCUUCAGUGGAACUGUUAUUUUUAGGCCUCUCCUCUCUUGUCACAAGCAUCUACAUACCUCCCUGGGUGACUCAUGUUUGUGGAUAGCACCAAGCACACGUGACUUUUUCAAUGUGGGGCUGGCUUAUUUUGACAAACCCACUCUCCGUUCCAUCUCUACUUGCAAUACUCAGAAUACUGUAGUGUGGGAAAAACUGUGGGACUUCCAGUGCUCCUCAAAUGUGUGCCAUGCAGCAGGAAAACUACCCCCAGAGAAGCUGGGACAAAGCUGUCCAUGAGCCAAUGAGUUACUAGUCAUAAAGUUGAACAUAUUGUUUCCAUAUUGCUUUGCUCCACAUUCGUAGCCAUAUGACUUGACCCCAGAGUUUCAGGUACAGUAAAAUGCUCUUAUUCAUUAUGGGGCCAUGUUACCAUGCAUCAAGGUGAUAUCCUGAAAAAUCACACCUCACAUGGCUGUUAGACACUUGUGUAAGACGUGGGCUCUCAAAACAGCACAUACCGAAAUUGGAGUACUUCUAGAAGGUGUUGGGCCUGAAUCAUCCAUUUCUAUCAGAAUUUUUAGCAAUUUUUUGGUCAUAGAAAAAAAUAUUUCUGAGUCUAUAUUUCAGGCAAUAUGACAAAAAGGACAAAAACAUUGCCAUGUGGACCCAGGUCAGUGGCCUAUCUGUGUGGUGCCAGGAGGCAGAGAAGAUGAAGUUUCCCUUUCAGAUUCAGCAAGUGACUCCUUUCGUCAUAAAUCCAUUCGGUGGUGUCAUGCCACACCUCUCUCUUAUUACCUGUACACCCACUUUUUGUUUGUAUAUUGGUUUGUUUGUUUUGUUAUUUCUGGUCUUCAAUGAUCUCAGGCUCUUUCUUAUCACAAGGUAUCCUCAAGGGCUAUUACCUCUGCCCAAAAUAUAUUCACCCUGGAAUAUAUUCUUCACCCAGCUAACUCAUUCUGGUCUUAGUUUAAAGACCUUUUCUCCAGAAAAGCUGUGUCGACCCCUUUGGGGGAAGGUGGAUUUCUCUGUUUUUUCUUUCAUAGCAUCCUAUAUCUUUCCACUGUGGCAGUUCUCACAGCAGUAUUUAAAUGAUUAUUUGUUAAAAUGACUUGCUGAAUACAUGUCUUUCCCACCAGAUUUUAAACUUCAUGAAGGCAAGCCUUCUUUAUUCACUUCUACUGUUCCAAUGUCCAGCACAACACUUUGCACGUAAGAGUAUUUUUCUCAAAACCUGUGUCAAUUUGAUAAGUAUCCUUCUUCAAAUUUACAUAGAAGGAGGACAACUGAAAAGCAAUGUGGUCCAUUCCCUGUUAUAUAAACACGUGUGUUGCACUGCAGAAGCAGAAAGAAAGCAGCAAGUGUUUCUGCCCGGAAUCACAUGAGGCAAGACUCAACAGAAGAUGGAACAUUUAAGCAGGCCUUGAGGCCAACAGCUGCCCAUUGUCACUGGUUCUACCUUUAGCAGCAUCUCUCUCCUCUCCUGAUAUCCUACAAGCCUGGAAACCUGGGACUGUUCAGAGCCCCGAGAGCUAGAAUAAGUGUGCCAUGUAAUGUGGAUGGACUGGCCGCCUUAAGCAGGGCUGCACAGGAGGAAAUCUGUCUCCUCCCCGCUCUGCUGAAACACUAAAUGAAGAACUUUUUAAUUGUUACUGAGUAUCUGAGUCAUUGAAUUCCUCAGUUUUCUGGAACUGUGAUCACACAAGGCUUCGCUUUAGAACACGGAUACUCUACAUAGUAAGAAGCUACAGUUGAACUGCACAUGCCACCCUCAUUACCACUCUCAUCAAAUGCUGUAGCUUCAACUUCCUCCUUCAAUCCAGUUUAAAGACUGGGACAUGGAAAAUAAGAAAGUGUUCGGACAUUUUCAGAAUGGAAUAACGCGUGUGAAGGGCGGGGUCCUGAUGCAGUGGCCACAGGCACACCUGAAGGUGUAGAUUUUCUUUUUGGGACAAAGACUCCCUAUUGUCCUUCAAAAAAAAAAAUCUUAUCAUAUUUUAAUUAUAUCACCCAGGAAAAUAGACUGUCCUGGAAAACAAAAGUCACCAGCCUCUGCUAAAGCUGGAGUCUUUAGGGGUAAAAUCAGGGGCACAGGUCAAACAUAGUUUUCGGUGACCUAUGUCUGCAAGGCAGUCAGAAGCAAUAAACUGUGCAGGGUUGAUUAAGCUUGAUGAUAUCAAUGUACUCUAUUGAGUAUUGAAAUAUUGAAAUAUUUGUGAUGUUAUCUAUUUAUUUGUAUUGUUCCAUGGGUAUGUAUCUCCUAUUUGCUUUCAUCAGAGAUUCAGAGGACAGUCCUCAAAAUGAAAAGAUUCUUGUAGUUGUUUUCUGAAACAUCCAAGAAGUACCUGGAAAGACAAAGGGAACAAAUAACUACUACUAUUAAUCAUUGGACGCUGAUAAUGUGCUAAAGGUGAUAUCUUAUUCACAACUGCACCAUGUAAGUGAUCAUCCAACAUUCUUCAGUGUUGUACUCAAGGCUCAGAGAGGGUAAGAAACUUGCCAGAGUCAUCCAGCAAGCAAGGAUCAAAUCUGGGAUUCAAAACAGGCCCCGAAGCCUCCAGAGCCUAGAGUGGGAGCUGGCACUGACAUGAGGACGGGAGAGUGGAAAAAGAAUCCUAGGAUUCCUGCAACGAAGCAGGUCUGGUCCCGACAAGGGGCCCCAGGCCUCACAGGGGGACUUGCCCAGUGAACACAGGGUGCCGGGAACUCCGUACCUCCCUCCUGCAGCCCGCAAUUUUCCAUCACCAUUGGAGAGCUGUUUGAAAUACUACAGCUCCAAUCCCCAUGACCCUCUUGAAAUUCCUCCACCAUCCCUGAGGCCUCCCAGUCCCAGUGUGGGAAAUUCUGCUUUAGAGGGAUGUUAUGAAUAUUAAGGAACAAGUGAUUAUUAACCUUUUGGCAAACAUACAGUCCUAUAGAAAUGUUAACCGUAUGUUCCCAUUUAACUUCAUUUAUAGCACUUGGACGACACUAAGACAUUUGCCUCUUGUUUAGGACUUAUACUAGUCAGAAUUUGCAAAGAAAUCAUUAGGCACUUCCUACAUAAGGCAUAAGAGACGCUGUCUACAUCUUCGUGCCUUCUGAUCCAGAGGGUUUGGUUUGGUUUGGUUUUUGCUUUGAAUAAUACCCUGUAGUUGACUGAGUCUGUUACAAAUAAUCUCUUAAUUAUGUGACUUACUCCACUCAAAAGACUUCAGCAAUUCACCAUUCCUCUGAGACCAUUUACAGGUUAUUAAAAAAUCUAAGUUCCGUAUAGUUGGCCUUCAACUUGGAUGUUAAGCUUGACAUGAUUCCUUUCCACGUGUUUUCAUUUUCUUCUGCGACAGCACCUCCUGCCCCCCAGAAUAGUGCAUUUAUCUCCCAAAUUCAAUCAUCUAUAUUAACUGGGGACCUGCUAUCUGGAUAAGUGAUAUCCACAAGUGUUCCAAGAAACUUUAAUAUUAAUAACUUUAUCGCAAUCAAUAGUUCCAAAUUCAUCAGACAGGAUUUCACUAGAGUUGCCAAAAAGGAAUACAAUUUAACUGCUCUGAGAGCCUUCACCCUGUUCUCAUCCCGUGUUUCCAUGGAAGAUGCAAAGAACAGAGACACACGAGAAAGGUGGACAGGCAGAGUCAAGAAUGAAACGGAAUGAGGUCUCUGUCAACAAGCUGGAUAAUGUCCAUUUCCCUGAGCUUGAGUCUGUUCCUCUCUGUUCCUCCUUCUGUUUUUUCUCUCUCCUCACUGGAGUGCUAAUGAAUACCUUCCACUGCUCUGGAAUGCCAUUAUGUUGUGAUUGUCCUCCCUUGCGAGGUCUUUGCAGAGGCCACGAUGAGACCGGUCUCAUCCACGGCUUUGUGUCCUCCUCCCUGAUACAGUCCCCAAAGGCCCUCUCCACUCAGGGCUCAAGUUCCACUCACUGGGUGGGUCAUACCCCCAGCCCUGUAAAAUGUUUCUGAAGGAUUGGGGCUCUGACAUACCUCACCCAAAUCUUUUGCAUCUUUAAUAAACGAAGUUAGUACCAA